UCCGUGACGAUAGCGUGGAGGGUACACCUGUUCCCAUACCGAACACAGAAGUUAAGCUCCACAGCGCCGAAAGUACUUGCUGGGUAACUGGCUGGGAGGAUAGGACGUUGCGGAUU
rnacentral:rRNA from 1 species